ensembl:ncRNA F25H10.5 ncRNA
UGAUGUUUUAAUUUUAAGCUUUUAGUCAAGUUUUUUUGAAAAUUGUUGACAAUGGGCCGAGGUGGCGGCCAAACCCAAAAAGUGCGCCAAAAAUUUGAAUCAACCCACAGCCUUUUUUGAUGGCAGAAAAUCAAAGGCUUGGUGUUU